GCUGGAAUCAAAAUAAGCAUCAGUAGAAGGAUUCACGAUAAAUUGGAGAGGAAGUACUCCUCAAUUGUAAAGAGAAGGGACAGGAGUGCCAACACGAGCAGGUUCAUACGUAUGAGACUGGGAAGGAGAAGGAGUUCUCAUCUGACAGCAUCUAUUUUCUCUUUAAGAGGCGAAGCCCAUCUAAAUGGGAGAGAAAAGGGGAAAGGGCUUGAAGAGAGAGAAAAGUGUUUGGAAUAGUUGUGGAGAUUGGCAAAGUGAACCGGCCUGAGAAAUUAUCAUUUCCAUAAAUACUGAGAGCCGUUUGAGAUUGGUGCUCAGGAACAUCUAGAGAAUGCAAUCUGCCCUGUUCUGUGACUUCCUGAAUGAAGGAAUGAGCACUUCUGGGGUGACUGCAUGCUCCACACUCACUUGGACAGGAGAACGGGGACUCAGCGGGUUCCUUACCUCCAGCCCAGAGCCAUGAGCCCAGGCUGUGCCCACCCCAGGAGAGUUGUGGACCUGCCUGACCCGAGUGAACUAGGAAAGACCAUGGAGGAAACGGAGUAGUUGGAGGUGGGCAGCCCGUGGCUGGC
rnacentral:lncRNA from 1 species